GCGUCGAGCCGUGCCGCCGUCCCCACACCGUCGCCUCGAUCGAGUCCCGACGUAGUCGCUUCGAAGGCUCGUUGCCGUCCCCCCUGCUGAGCCGUGACCGAUCCGCUAACGCCACGCCAGAUCUAGGAGCUACGGGGCCGACGUCACUACCUCCUGUCACCGCCACCGUUCGCCACCUCGUCACAGACAGGUAACAGUAACCAUCACCACCGCCGGUCGUGUCGCCGCCAUCGCAUCUUCCCCCUUUUCGAACCGUGCCGCCACUGAAACCCCCAUCACAGACCCAUGGUCGGUCGUCCUCGCUGAGCGGAUUGUCGUCGUCGUCUCCACCGUCGGCGCCGUCGUCUCCACCGUCGCCGCCGUCGCCGCCGUCAUCGCCGUCUAGUCCGUCGUCGCCGCCGUCGUCGCCGUCUGCCCGGUGACGCCUCGGUCCCUCCCACCAGCGCCGCGAGCAAACGAAGGAGAGAGGAGGUCGGGAACCGGGUCAGUUCGCGGGUCCUUUCGACCCGGUUCCUCCGUUUCCGGGUAGGGUUUCCCCGGGUCGGACCUACACUCGUCGGGCUGGUUUCUGAACUCGGGCCGGGCAUCUUUUUUUAAUAGGCCCAAUUCCGUGUGUGUGUGGGCUGAGUUUUUAAGAAAAAAGCAAAAAAUCCGAGUCGGGCCCGCGUUGCGGGCCCGUGCGCGUUUUGGGUCGUCGAUCCGGGUCGGACCCAACCCGCGGAUCCGACCCGAAUCGGCUUUUUAUUAUUUUAGGUAAUAUUUUAAUAAAAAAGAAAAAAGAAAAAUAUUUUAUUUAUAAAAAAUAUUAAAAAUAUUUUAAUUUCCAGAAAACCGAAAAAUGUUUUAAAAUAUUAAAAAAUGUUUUAAUUUCCAAAAAAAUCGAAAAAAUAUUAAAAAAUAUUAUAUUUUUAGAAAAAUCAAAAAAAUCAAAAAUAUUUCAUAUUUUCCAAAAAAAUGCCAAAAAUCCAAAAAAAGCCAAAAAUUCAUGAAAAAGCAAAAAAAUUCAGAAAAAGCCAAAAAGAAUUGUAUUUUUCCAAAAAAAAAUACCAAAAAAAUCCCUUUUGUGUCCAAAAAAUUAGAAAAUGACUCAAAAAAUGUUUUUCCUCCUAAAAUGCAUGGAAAAUCUCUUGAACAUCCAAAAAACCUCAGGGUUUAAACAAGAUUAGGUACCGAAAGGGCAUUAGUGAUUAAUUAAUGUAAUCAAGUCCCCGAUCCUAAUUUCUCUGGUUGCGCAGGAGUGAGUAUUUCUCCCGAUACUUCACUUGGGUUUCUAAUCAACCCACC
rnacentral:lncRNA from 1 species